UAAAAAGUUCUUCGCGCGUGACUUUUAGUAUACACAUAAAAAUUGUGACAAAGGUGGCAAAUAUUACUGUUCUGCUCUUUUUAGUCAGUUUUAAAAAUUGAAAAAUGAAGUGCAUCGCCGCUUUUAGCAAGAAUAAAACACCAAAUUCGUUUAAAAACGUGGCGUUUUCCGCUUUCCCAAACAACCUGAAGUGAGACAGAAGUGGGUUUUAUUUUGUCGUCGGCAAAAUGAAGAUAUCACUGAGAAUCCCAGAAUAUGCAGCCUUCACUUCAAUUAUAACGAUUUGUACGUUGUCAGACGAGGAGGAAAAUUAAUGAUUAAUUCUGGUGCUAUCCCAGUGUUUGAAAAGGUCAUAAACAUUUCUGAUGAUGAUCAAGGUUUUCCGAUUACAAAUAAUGACGGAUGCUCUGGUGUUUAAUCGAAAGGAAUGUUUCAUCGUGAAAAGGAAAUAGAAAAUUAGGCAUCGUAUUCAUCACUUGGUUCGACAGUAACUGCUUGCUCUGACGGUUUUGGAGAAACAGCGUUAGAGUACGAAAAAUUAUCAAAGCAGCCCAAGUGCCGUUUAAUUCAAACCAUUCAAAAGCUAAAACGACGAGAUUGUUCGAAGAACCGCAUUUUGAAAUUACUCCGUAAGCGUAUUACACGGUUGGAAAAGAAAUGCCAUGUAUCUAAAGAGGCAGCAUCAAUUCUGUUUAACCCUGAACAGGUAACUUUAAUUAAAAACAGCCUAAAGCGUGUCAGGAAGUGGUCAGAUAAAACAAUGACUGAAAGCUUUGGAGUCAGAUUCGCU